GAUGAAGAACGCAGCGAAAUGCGAUACUUGGUGUGAAUUGCAGAAUCCCGUGAACCAUCGAGUCGUUGAACGCAAGUUGCGCCCGAAGCCACUAGGCCGAGGGCACGCCUGCCUGGGCGUCACACGCCGUUGCCCCCCCAUCUACUCCUUCGGGAUUGCGGGGGGGCGGAUGAUGGCCUCCCGUGCGCCUAGCCGCGCGGUUGGCAUAAAUACCAAGUCCUCGGCGACGCACGCCACGACAAUCGGUGGUUGCGAAACCUCGGUUGCCCGUCGUGUGCGUUCGUCGCGCAUCGAGGGCUCGAAAAAAUGCUCGGCUCCGGCUGGGCUUUCAACGCGACCCCAGGUCAGGCGGGGUUACCCGCUGAAUUUAAGCAUAUCAAUAAGCGGAGGA
rnacentral:misc_RNA from 1 species